UACGAAGGGGACUAGCGUUGUUCGGAUUUACUGGGCGUAAAGCGCGCGUAGGCGGAUCGCUAAGUCAGGGGUGAAAUCCCAGGGCUCAACCCUGGAACUGCCUUUGAUACUGACGGUCUGGAGAUCGGGAGAGGUUGGUGGAAUUCCGAGUGUAGAGGUGAAAUUCGUAGAUAUUCGGAGGAACACCAGAAGCGAAGGCGGCCAACUGGCCCGAUACUGACGCUGAGGCGCGAAAAGCGUGGGGGAGCAAACAGG
rnacentral:rRNA from 1 species